GACGAACGCUGGCGGCGUGCUUAACACAUGCAAGUCGAACGGAAAGGCCCUGCUUUUGUGGGGUGCUCGAGUGGCGAACGGGUGAGUAACACGUGAGUAACCUGCCCUUGACUUUGGGAUAACUUCAGGAAACUGGGGCUAAUACCGGAUAGGAGCUCCUGCUGCAUGGUGGGGGUUGGAAAGUUUCGGCGGUUGGGGAUGGACUCGCGGCUUAUCAGCUUGUUGGUGGGGUAGUGGCUUACCAAGGCUUUGACGGGUAGCCGGCCUGAGAGGGUGACCGGCCACAUUGGGACUGAGAUACGGCCCACACUCCUACGGGAGGCAGCAGUGGGGAAUAUUGCACAAUGGGCGGAAGCCUGAUGCAACAACGCCGCGAGCGGGAUGACGGCCUUCGGGUUGUAAACCGCUUUCGCCUGUGACGAAGCGUGAGUGACGGUAAUGGGUAAAGAAGCACCGGCUAACUACGUGCCAGCAGCCGCGGUGAUACGUACGGUGCGAGCGUUGUCCGGAUUUAUUGGGCGUAAAGGGCUCGUAGGUGGUUGAUCGCGUCGGAAGUGUAAUCUUGGGGCUUAACCCUGAGCGUGCUUUCGAUACGGGUUGACUUGAGGAAGGUAGGGGAGAAUGGAAUUCCUGGUGGAGCGGUGGAAUGCGCAGAUAUCAGGAGGAACACCAGUGGCGAAGGCGGUUCUCUGGGCCUUUCCUGACGCUGAGGAGCGAAAGCGUGGGGAGCGAACAGGCUUAGAUACCCUGGUAGUCCACGCUGUAAACGGUGGGUACUAGGUGUGGGGUCCAUUCCACGGGUUCCGUGCCGUAGCUAACGCUUUAAGUACCCCGCCUGGGGAGUACGGCCGCAAGGCUAAAACUCAAAGGAAUUGACGGGGCCCCGCACAAGCGGCGGAGCAUGCGGAUUAAUUCGAUGCAACGCGUAGAACCUUACCUGGGUUUGACAUGGAUCGGGAGUGCUCAGAGAUGGGUGUGCCUCUUUUGGGGUCGGUUCACAGGUGGUGCAUGCCUGUCGUCAGCUCGUGUCGUGAGAUGUUGGGUUAAGUCCCGCAACGAGCGCAACCCUUGUUCACUGUUGCCAGCACGUUAUGGUGGGGACUCAGUGGAGACCGCCGGGGUCAACUCGGAGGAAGGUGGGGAUGACGUCAAGUCCUCAUGCCCCUUAUGUCCAGGGCCUCACGCAUGCUACAAUGGCUGGUACAGAGAGUGGCGAGCCUGUGAGGGUGAGCGAAUCUCGGAAAGCCGGUCUCAGUUCGGAUUGGGGUCUGCAACUCGACCUCAUGAAGUCGGAGUCGCUAGUAAUCGCAGAUCAGCAACGCUGCGGUGAAUACGUUCCCGGG
rnacentral:rRNA from 1 species